AUGAAACAAGUAGCAGUGAUUAAACUCACUGUGUUAUUAGGUGUGCACUCCCAGAUCCAGCUGCAGCAGUUUGCAGCUGAGCUGGUGGAGCCUGGGGUUUCAGUGAAGAUGUCCUGCAAGGCUUCUGGCUAUACCAUCAUUAGCUAUUAUAUGAGCUGGAUAAAGCACAGGCCUAGACAGGAACUGGAAUGGAUUGGAGCUAUUCUUCCAUUAAGUGGUAGUAUUUACUACAAUGAGAAGUUCAAGGGCAAGCCCACCUUGGCUGCAGACACAUCCUCCAACACAGUCUACGUGCAGCUCAGCAGCCUGACAUCUGAGGACUCUGCAGUCUAUUACUGUACAAGAUACAGUGGUGUAACCACACCCUGA